rnacentral:lncRNA from 1 species
UCCCGAGUCAAAACUUAGAAGAAAUCCACCCGGGGAGAGCCACCUAACCAGUGUCAGACUGCAAAGCCGACUGGAAAUAAAACAGCUGUCUCAGGCCUUCUUACAAGAAAGGAAUGGGACUGACCAACACUGGCUCCCUGUGAGAGCCCAAGCUCACAACAAAAAGUGCCACUUGGAUAAAAGCAGCAGUUGUCCGUAUGGAAGCCAUCUUGGUCUGCAUGUCCUUGGGAGAGAUCCUGAAGCCCAGCACGAAGGAGAGCUCAUGGAGGUUCUGACUUGCUCAAACGACUAA